GAAUUUUGUAUUUUAGUCUGCUAAAGAAGAAGAGCUCUCAGUUUUAUCGAUUGCUCAAUCGUAGCCUCGUAGGAUCCUCCCGUCCUUCAACAAUGUGGUUAAAACAAAGCAGGCAAUCUUCUAAAUGUUUGAAAUAGCCCAGGACUAUCCUGAAGAGGGUUCAACAACAUAAAACAUCAUAUAUAUCAAAUAUGACAACACUUAAGAUGAAGAAUUUAGCCCUAACUGUUGAUGUGGAGUUGGUGCUAAUUUGCUGCCAUCCCCUUUCGUGAUGUUUUCAAUGUCAAGUAAUGCACAUUAAUAGCUGGACGCUGACAAAUUGUCACUCGCACCUGAGAACAGGCUGGUGAAUUCUGAGCUUCUUUGUGUCAGUCCAAUAUGUGCUAUGUGCAGAUGGGUUUGUUGCAGCCAGCCGGUGAUAGGUGCUCUUCUUGCUACCUGUACCAGCUGUAUGUUUCAUAUUGUAAAAAACACUGAACAGAAUGAACUGAACUACAGAAGAAUGAAGGAUUAACAGCCUGGUGAAGUAUGAGCUUCUUUGUUGCUGCCCAAUGUUCACAUGAAUUUGACAUAAGCGUCAGGAUUAAGUGAUUAAUAGCUAGUUGAAGUCUUAGCUUCACCUUCUUCUUCGGCCAGUCUAAUUAACACAUGGAUUUUUUCAGCCAGCAUUUUGAAUUUGACAUGUACAAUUUUCUCAAUGGUUUCGCGUUUAUGUUCGCGUAGUUGCUGUCCGAUGUGGCACAUUGUUUCAGCCUGUGCUCGUAAAAGAUCGUCCUACAUCAAGUUCAAUUGGCCGUUCCUUGGUGUCGUGUUACCGAAAUUGCAUCAUUAUUUUGUUAAAUUGUCAUCGUGACUGCAGUUUACCGUUAAUAAGUUAAGAAGCAACAAAAACAAAUAUGGGAUGUUUAUGUCAACAAAUAAUAAACAUGUUUUCGGGAUUGGGAAAGGAAAGUGGAGGAUGUUGGAGAGGGGAGGGAGGAUAUUUCAAGUUUGGAUAAAAAUUCAGUUAAUCUAUAACCCUACAUACAUAUCCUUACCAAUUAAUCUCCAAACCCCACAAACUUAUACCUUCCAGUUCUUCAAACCCCAGAAACAUACACCUACCAACCCUCAAAUUUACACCCUUAACCCCUAAACUAAUGUUGAACCUUAACUAUGUAACAUCUGUAAAAAAUAAUUAAUAAACAUAAUUUCAACCGA
rnacentral:lncRNA from 1 species